rnacentral:rRNA from 1 species
AGGAUAUCUGAGAGGAGCUGUCCUUAGUACGAGAGGACCGGGAUGGACGGACCGCUGGUGGACCGGUUGGCUUGCCAAAGCCAUGGCCGGGUAGCCAAGUCCGGAAGGGAUAAACGCUGAAGGCAUCUAAGCGUGAAGCCCCCCUCAAGAUGAGAUAUCCCAUUCUUAGUGAAGUAAACCCCCUUGAAGACGACGAGGUAGAUAGGGCAGAGGUGGAAGUGUGGUAACACAUGGAGCUGACUGUUACUAAUCGGGUGAGGGCUUGACCA